UUAAUUAGUGUAAGAUAUUUAUUUUAUAAUAAUAAAAUUACGGACCAGGAAAGCAUGAUUCCGUAAUAUUUUUAAAUUUCUAUCUUUGGUUGGACCGAAUGCGGCCAGACUUGAGUCUAGUACAUUCUUAAAUUUUCAGCUUGUCUGAAUUGUAAAUUCGCUGAUGUGGAUUUUAAUAUAGAAUUAGGUUGUAGCUCCAGCGUUUGAAAAAAUAGCUAUACUUGAGAGGUUUUUUUAAUGCGACAAUAGGGAUUUCAUUGAAUUAGAAUAUUAGUGAUAAUUACCUAGUUAUUGAGUAUUUAAUUACUAAAAUUUAUUAAUUUUCAAUUAAUUUAAAAUUAUAGUGGGGUUGUUUUAUAAAAUAUAAUAUUUUUAUUUGGCUAAGGUUUUUUAAAUUUGUUGUGUUUUAUAUUUCUAAAUAUCCCAGAAGAGCAGAAAAUUUUUAUAAAAUCGAAAAACUGAUUUUAUAUUUUAAGAUAAUAUUUAAAUAUACUUUGUCGAAUAUGGAGCAGGUUGGCAAGUAUGGUCGGAAGUUAAUUUUCUGAUUACUAAU
rnacentral:rRNA from 1 species